rnacentral:rRNA from 1 species
AGCAGCAGCCACGGUAAUACGUAGGGUGCGAGCGUUAAUCGGAAUUACUGGGCGUAAAGCGGGCGCAGACGGUUACUUAAGCAGGAUGUGAAAUCCCCGGGCUCAACCUGGGAAUUGCGUUCUGAACUGGGUGGCUAGAGUGUGUCAGAGGGGGGUAGAAUUCCACGUGUAGCAGUGAAAUGCGUAGAGAUGUGGAGGAAUACCGAUGGCGAAGGCAGCCCCCUGGGAUAGCACUGACGUUCAUGCCCGAAAGCGUGGGUAGCAAACAGGAUUAGAUACCCGAGUAGUCCCUGUCUCUUAUAC